CAUUUAUGCAUGUUCAGGUGAGUGCAGCCCCCUGGAGAUAGAUAUGAAACCAGUGGGCUGCACUCACCUGAACAUGCAUAAAUG